UAUCAGAUGGCACAGAAAAAUGAAGUUUACUUUCAUUAGAUUGUAUAAAUUCUAUGAUAUUUCCCGUUACGUUUCUGUUAUGUCAGGAAAUUUCAGCGUGAGAGUUCAUUUUGUAGUAUUUAUUGUAGUAUUGCAUUGUUGAAAGAAAAGAAAAGAUAGAAGAAGGAAAAGGAUCUUUUAAAGACAACAAAGAUAUAUAUAUAUACAGCAUGAGUCACAAAAAGUGUGCUGUUAUUAAUUGUGCGGAACGAAAUAAACGGAUGUUUGCAUUUCCUAAUCCAAUUAAGGAUAAAAAACGGUUUUUACAAUGGAUAUCAGCAAAUGGAGAUCCAUCAUUGAUGACCAUUCUUCCGAAAAAAAUAAUGAAAAGGACAAACAGGUGAAAACCAUUUUAAGGAUAAUUUUAAAUUAAAAAAACGAUUGAGUACAUAUGCUAUACCAACAUUAUUGCUGCCAGAGCCAAUUAACAUUGACGAACACGAAGUAGCAUGUUUAAAUACAAAUGAGAAUACUAUUACAAAUUUAUUAGAAAAUGAUCUACAAGCACCAAAUAUUACAGAAUGCAAUGAUUAUGACAAUAUCAGAGAUAUCUCUACAUGUUCAGGAGAAGAGGUGGCAGAAACAAGAAUAGAUAGAAAUGAAGAGAAUCCUGUAUCUAUGCCGAUAAUAAAGGAAAGAAAAAGAAAAGCGAAAGGUAUGAUAUAUAUAAUCACAAUAAAAAUAAUUAUCUACAAUAGUUUUAACAAAGAUAUGAUCAUAUACAUAAAAUGUAUUGGUCAUAUUUCUAUUUUAACGAAAGACAGAAAUCUAUAUAUAUACAUAUAUAUAUA